CCGACGAUACAGGGUGAUAGUCCCGUAGUUGACGACGUGUGUUCAGUGAAAUCGAGUAGGGCGGGACACGUGAUAUCCUGUCUGAAUAUGGGGGGACCAUCCUCCAAGGCUAAAUACUACUGACUGACCGAUAGUGAACCAGUACCGUGAGGGAAAGGCGAAAAGAACCCCUGUGAGGGGAGUGAAAUAGAACCUGAAACCGUGUACGUACAAGCAGUAGGAGCAGGCUUUGUCCUGUGACUGCGUACCUUUUGUAUAAUGGGUCAGCGACUUAUAUUCAGUGGCAAGGUUAACCAUCUAGGGGAGCCGUAGGGAAACCGAGUCUUAACUGGGCGUUCAGUCUCUGGAUAUAGACCCGAAACCAGGUGAUCUAGCCAUGGGCAGGUUGAAGGUUGAGUAACAUCAACUGGAGGACCGAACCGACUAAUGUUGAAAAAUUAGCGGAUGACUUGUGGCUAGGGGUGAAAGGCCAAUCAAACCUGGAGAUAGCUGGUUCUCCCCGAAAGCUAUUUAGGUAGCGCCUCGGACGAAUACUACUGGGGGUAGAGCACUGUUAAGGCUAGGGGGUCAUCCCGACUUACCAACCCUUUGCAAACUCCGAAUACCAGUAAGUACUAUCCGGGAGACACACGGCGGGUGCUAACGUCCGUCGUGGAGAGGGAAACAACCCAGACCGCCAGCUAAGGUCCCAAAUUACUACUAAGUGGGAAACGAUGUGGGAAGGCUCAGACAGCCAGGAUGUUGGCUUAGAAGCAGCCAUCAUUUAAAGAAAGCGUAAUAGCUCACUGGUCGAGUCGGCCUGCGCGGAAGAUGUAACGGGGCUAAGUAGUAAACCGAAGCUGCGGCAAUGUGCUUUUGCACAUUGGGUAGGGGAGCGUUCUGUAAGCGGUUGAAGGUGUGUGGUAACGCAUGCUGGACGUAUCAGAAGUGCGAAUGCUGACAUGAGUAACGAUAAAGGGGGUGAAAAACCUCCUCGCCGGAAGACCAAGGGUUCCUGUCCAACGUUAAUCGGGGCAGGGUAAGUCGACCCCUAAGGCGAGGCCGAAAGGCGUAGUCGAUGGGAAACGGGUUAAUAUUCCCGUACUUCUUACAAUUGCGAUGGGGGGACGGAGAAGGCUAGGUGGGCCUGGCGACGGUUGUCCAGGUUCAAGUGCGUAGGCUUAAGAGUUAGGUAAAUCCGGCUCUUUUUAAGGCUGAGACACGACGUCGAGCACCUACGGGUGUGAAGUCAUUGAUGCCAUGCUUCCAGGAAAAGCCUCUAAGCUUCAGAUUGUAAGGAAUCGUACCCCAAACCGACACAGGUGGUCGGGUAGAGAAUACCAAGGCGCUUGAGAGAACUCGGGUGAAGGAACUAGGCAAAAUGGUACCGUAACUUCGGGAGAAGGUACGCUCUUGAUGGUGAAGUCCCUUGCGGAUGGAGCUGACGAGAGUCGCAGAUACCAGGUGGCUGCAACUGUUUAUUAAAAACACAGCACUGUGCAAAAUCGUAAGAUGACGUAUACGGUGUGACGCCUGCCCGGUGCCGGAAGGUUAAUUGAUGGGGUUAGACUUCGGUCGAAGCUCUUGAUCGAAGCCCCGGUAAACGGCGGCCGUAACUAUAACGGUCCUAAGGUAGCGAAAUUCCUUGUCGGGUAAGUUCCGACCUGCACGAAUGGCGUAAUGAUGGCCACGCUGUCUCCACCCGAGACUCAGUGAAAUUGAAAUCGCUGUGAAGAUGCAGUGUACCCGCGGCUAGACGGAAAGACCCCGUGAACCUUUACUACAGCUUGGCACUGAACAUUGACCCUACAUGUGUAGGAUAGGUGGGAGGCUUUGAAGCACGUACGCCAGUAUGUGUGGAGCCGUCCUUGAAAUACCACCCUUGUAGUGUUGAUGUUCUAACGUCGACCCCUUAUCGGGGUUGCGGACAGUGCCUGGUGGGUAGUUUGACUGGGGCGGUCUCCUCCCAAAGAGUAACGGAGGAGCACGAAGGUGGGCUAAUCACGGUUGGACAUCGUGAGGUUAGUGCAAUGGCAUAAGCCCGCUUGACUGCGAGAAUGACAAUUCGAGCAGGUGCGAAAGCAGGUCAUAGUGAUCCGGUGGUUCUGAAUGGAAGGGCCAUCGCUCAACGGAUAAAAGGUACUCCGGGGAUAACAGGCUGAUACCGCCCAAGAGUUCAUAUCGACGGCGGUGUUUGGCACCUCGAUGUCGGCUCAUCACAUCCUGGGGCUGAAGUCGGUCCCAAGGGUAUGGCUGUUCGCCAUUUAAAGUGGUACGCGAGCUGGGUUUAGAACGUCGUGAGACAGUUCGGUCCCUAUCUGCCGUGGGCGUUGGAAGAUUGAAGGGGGCUGCUCCUAGUACGAGAGGACCGGAGUGGACGAACCUCUGGUGUUCGGGUUGUGUCGCCAGACGCAUUGCCCGGUAGCUAAGUUCGGAAUCGAUAACCGCUGAAAGCAUCUAAGCGGGAAGCGAGCCCUGAGAUGAGUCUUCCCUGAUACUUUAAGUAUCCUAAAGGGUUGUCGGAGACUACGACGUUGAUAGGUCAGGUGUGUAAGUGCUGUGAGGCAUUGAGCUAACUGAUACUAAUUGCCCGUGAGGCUUAACCAUACAACACCCAAGGGGUUU
rnacentral:rRNA from 1 species